rnacentral:lncRNA from 1 species
GGAUGAGAUCAGGAUAUGGGAGGAUACACCGCAGGGUAACGUAGCCUCCACGGACUCCUGAAGACUAGAUGAAAUAGACAAGGAAACUACUCUACCGAUUAGGAGUAGAACUCGUUAACCAUGUUCGACUAGGGAUCCACCCUGUAACCCUGCUCCCCGACUAUACAAGGGAGGGUAGAGACCCCCUCAAAACAACAACUAAGAAGUUCAAUACAAUCAACACACAGGACGUAGGGUGUUACGCAAUCUAGCGGCCCGAACCUAUCUAAAUCGUGUUCCUUGCAUCACCAUCGACACCUUGAUUCUCGACGACACCCACCACACAAAAGACCACCUAGGGUACCCCGUAGGCGGGUUGCCGGUCUAAAACACUAACAGUGUGGAAGGGUAGUGUCAGGAGCGACGUCGAGGGGCGGCAUUGGGGGUCGUGGACGGGGAGGCGGUGAGGUGGCAUCGAGGGUCGCGGACAGGGAGGCGAUGGAGGCGGCGUCAAGGGUCGCGGACGGGGAGGUGACGGAGGC